rnacentral:lncRNA from 1 species
AUUAAACUCAAUAUGGUGUUCACAUAAUCACAGUCUUUCCAACAGAUGCUAUUAUCAUGAAUGACCAAUUAACCAAGCACAGAUGCAAUCAAGUAUAACAAGAACUACUCCUCACCAAGAAAAGUGUUUCACUCAAGCACACAGGUGUAUAUUGAGGUGACUCAUUCUCUCUACUAUCACAAUGUCACACAAAUUAACUUUGCCUUUCAUUUAACAACAAUCAAUCAUACUCACAAGCAAGUUAUCAUCACAAGGACUUUUUAUGGCUUGUAAUGUGGUUGGGCUAAGAAGAACAUUGGUUUUUCUGGAUCACAAAAUCCUUGAGUUAAGAGAGUUAUUCACAUUUAUAUUUUAAACACAAACUCUCUUUAAACAACCAAUCUCACUGAUUCCCAACUUUCCCUUUUCUUCGCAUUGAGCUUUUCUUCUCAUUUUAUCUUUUUGUUUCUUUUUUUCUUUUUUUAUCUUUUUCAUCUUUUCAAGUUUUGCUCAACACAUUAGCUCAAUGCUUAUCUUUUUCUUUUUCAACUUUCCCAACAACCCC